rnacentral:rRNA from 1 species
GAUGAACGCUGGCGGCGUGCCUAAUACAUGCAAGUCGAGCGAACAGACGAGGAGCUUGCUCCUCUGACGUUAGCGGCGGACGGGUGAGUAACACGUGGAUAACCUACCUAUAAGACUGGGAUAACUUCGGGAAACCGGAGCUAAUACCGGAUAAUAUAUUGAACCGCAUGGUUCAAUAGUGAAAGACGGUUUUGCUGUCACUUAUAGAUGGAUCCGCGCCGCAUUAGCUAGUUGGUAAGGUAACGGCUUACCAAGGCAACGAUGCGUAGCCGACCUGAGAGGGUGAUCGGCCACACUGGAACUGAGACACGGUCCAGCCUCCUACGGGAGGCAGCAGUAGGGAAUCUUCCGCAAUGGGCGAAAGCCUGACGGAGCAACGCCGCGUGAGUGAUGCAGGUCUUCGGAUCGUAAAACUCUGUUAUUAGGGAAGAACAAAUGUGUAAGUAACUAUGCACGUCUUGACGGUACCUAAUCAGAAAGCCACGGCUAACUACGUG